rnacentral:rRNA from 3 species
UCUCCUGAAGGAACGUUAAAGACGAUGACGUUGAUAGGCCGGGUGUGUAAGCGCAGCGAUGCGUUGAGCUAACCGGUACUAAUGAACCGUGAGGCUUAACCUU